rnacentral:rRNA from 1 species
GACGUAGGGCGCGAGCGUUGUCCGGAUUUAUUGGGCGUAAAGAGCUCGUAGGCGGCUUGUUGCGUCGACCGUGAAAACCCGGGGCUCAACUUCGGGCUUGCGGUCGAUACGGGCGGGCUAGAGUUCGGUAGGGGAGACUGGAAUUCCUGGUGUAGCGGUGAAAUGCGCAGAUAUCAGGAGGAACACCGGUGGCGAAGGCGGGUCUCUGGGCCGAUACUGACGCUGAGACGCGAAAGCGUGGGGAGCGAACAGG